GUGAACGCUGGCGGUAGGCCUAACACCUGCCAGUCGAACGGCAGCACCGUAAGAGCUUGCUCUUACGGGUGGCGAGUGGCGGACGGGUGAGGAAUACAUCGGAAUCUACUUUUUCGUGGGGGAUAACGUAGGGAAACUUACGCUAAUACCGCAUACGACCUACGGGUGAAAGCAGGGGAUCUUCGGACCUUGCGCGAUUGAAUGAGCCGAUGUCGGAUUAGCUAGUUGGCGGGGUAAAGGCCCACCAAGGCGACGAUCCGUAGCUGGUCUGAGAGGAUGAUCAGCCACACUGGAACUGAGACACGGUCCAGACUCCUACGGGAGGCAGCAGUGGGGGAUAUUGGACAAUGGGCGCAAGCCUGAUCCAGCCAUACCGCGUGGGUGAAGAAGGCCUUCGGGUUGUAAAGCCCUUUUGUUGGGAAAGAAAAGCAGCAGGUUAAUACCCCGCUGUUCUGACGGUACCCAAAGAAUAAGCACCGGCUAACUUCGUG
rnacentral:rRNA from 1 species